CGAAGGGGGCUAGCGUUGUUCGGAAUUACUGGGCGUAAAGCGCGCGUAGGCGGUUUUGCAAGCCAGAGGUGAAAUGCCUGAGCUCAACUUAGGAAUUGCCUUUGGGACUGCGAGGCUUUGAGGACUGGAGAGGUGAGUGGAAUUCCCCAGUGUAGAGGUGAAAUUCGUAGAUAUUGGGAAGAACACCGGUGGCGAAGGCGGCUCACUGGCCAGUUUCUGACGCUGCAGCGCGAAAGCGUGGGGAUCAAACAGGAUUAGAUACCCUGGUAGUCCACGCUGUAAACGAUGAGUGCUAGGCGUCGGCAUGCUUGCAUGUCGGUGCCGCAGCUAACGCGUGAAGCACUCCGCCUGGGGAGUACGGUCGCAAGAUUA
rnacentral:rRNA from 1 species